rnacentral:tRNA from 1 species
CCUUCGAUAGCUCAGCGGUAGAGCGGAGGACUGUAGCGGGUCGGUCACAGGAAUCCUUAGGUCGCUGGUUCAAAUCCGGCUCGAAGGA